rnacentral:rRNA from 1 species
CCAAUAGCGUAUAUUAAAGUUGUUGCAGUUAAAAAGCUCGUAGUUGAAUUUCGGGGUCAGUAGGUCGGUCGUGCCACUGGUAUGAACUGGUUUUACUGAUUCCUCCCUCUUGAAGAACUAUAAUGUCAUUAAUUUGGUGUUGCAGGAAAUCAGGACUGUUACUUUGAAAAAAUUAGAGUGUUUAAAGCAGGCUUACGCUUGAAUACAUUAGCAUGGAAUAAUGAAAUAGGACGUUAAUUCUAUUUUGUUGGUUUCUAGGGUCGACGUAAUGAUUAAUAGGGAUGGUUGGGGGCAUUAGUAUUCAAUUGUCAGAGGUGAAAUUCUUGGAUUUAUUGAAGACUAACUACUGCGAAAGCAUUUGCCAAGGAUGUUUUCAUUAAUCAGUGAACGAAAGUUAGGGGAUCGAAGACGAUCAGAUACCGUCGUAGUCUUAACCAUAAACUAUGCCGACUAGGGAUCGGAGGAUGUUACUAUUUUGACUCC